CUGUCGUAAAAACCCUAUUUGUAAACAACCAGCCCUUUAACUCGGGGCUGCGUCAUAAACACGGCGCGCUUGGAAGACCACGAUGUCAUCUUCCUUCUGUCAGGAGGAUCCAAGUGAAGCUACAGGAGUUUCAUUAACGUCAACAACUUGGACCAAACAGUUUGUUUUGCUUGAUGAAGAGCAGGAAGGGCAGCCUGGAGAGAAAGAGAAGCCGGGUUGAGCCCACUACCAUCAUCCACGUACCACGAGGAAGAUGAGGGAGAGAAAUGAUCCUACCAUUAAAGAGACUGUGAAAAGAACGUUGAGAACAUCACCACUCUACAGGAAGACACAGUCCAGUAAUGGGUGUCAGAAGUUCAGUAGUGAACGACAGAAACAAACAAUCCAAAUUACCUGCAGAAAGCCCUUGAUGGACGCUUCAGCUGCAUCGUCAGACUGGCAGUACUGAUGCAUUUACUGAGAGGGGACGUGAGGGCCUACUCUGCGUGCUCAGAGUUCAAGCCCAGCAGGCUGCAGCGGGCCUGACAUAUUCUGGAACAGCAGCACAGUCUUUGGAUGACUCCUCUGAAGAUGAAAACAUGGCGAGUUCUUCUCAAGAGAAGCAGUACAGGUGUGCCUCAGCUCCACGGUCCCUCCUGCAGCCUCCGCUCCUGAUGCUAACCUCAUGUCUCCAUCACACCAAGCAGCAGACCUGGAUUGACAGACCUUUCUCCAGAGCUGCCCCCUCCCUCUGAAACCCCCCUCUCCAAAACACUAUUUGUGUAGUUUUUAAAGUAUUUUUUGCAUGAGAAUUGUUGAUCAUAACAUUUCCAGCAGAUGCCUUAAUAUAAUGUU